rnacentral:rRNA from 1 species
CUACGGGGCGCUCCAGUCGAGAAUCUUCCGCAAUGGACGAAAGUCUAACGGAGCGACGCCGCGUGCGGGAUGAAGGCCUUCGGGUUGUAAACCGCUGUCAGUGGGGAGGAAAUGCAUCAGGGUUCUCCCUGGUGUUUGACCGAUCCGCAGAGGAAGCGCAGGCUAAGUUCGUGCCAGCAGCCGCGGUAACACGAACUGCGCGAACGUUAUUCGGAAUCACUGGGCUUAAAGAGUUCGUAGGCGGCCUUUCAAGUCGGGUGUGAAAUCCCUCGGCUCAACCGAGGAAUUGCGCCUGAUACUGUUGGGCUUGAGGGGGAUAGGGGUGAGCGGAACUGAUGGUGGAGCGGUGAAAUGCGUUGAUAUCAUCAGGAACACCGGUGGCGAAGGCGGCUCACUGGAUCUCUUCUGACGCUGAGGAACGAAAGCUAGGGGAGCGAACGGGAUUAGAUACCCCAGUAGUC